CAAAGAAUGAGUAGGAGUUAAGCAACUGGGAUAGGAAGGAGGAAAUGAAGCUGAUAUAAAGAAUAGCAUCAGUCAAGGCCUAGAAGCAAGACACAGCAUGCUCUAGCAAAAGAAGUGAAGCAGUAAAUAUUUUGGAUAAUGCGACUGACUGUGUGGGUUGCUUGUGGAUAUAUGUGGGGUAUGGAGUGUACUAAGAGAUGAGGCUGAAGAGGUAAGCAAGGGUGGGACCUCACAGGGUAUUGUGAAUCCUCCUAAGAAAUUUGCAUUUUAUCCCCAGGUCAGUUGAGGAAGUCCUUUAAAGUGUCAGUGGGUCUGAUACAGUUUCCAGUUCUCCUCUCUAAUGGACCAGUGGGCCCCUUCAUCAAUACGGCAAUGGUAGGGAAAACCAGAAGCACAAGAGGGUUAGAGUCCCUGGAAGCAGCGCUCCCACCUCAACCAAUGGUGAAUAGGAGGUGAUAAAUAGCCCAGCGUCAUCACCCAAUGGCAGUACCACUUGGAAGCAAGCUCUGCAAUAUGUCCCAGAGUUCUCAGUCCUCUCUAGGUGGCAGGGACACAGCAGUGAAUUUACACUUUGAUCUUUGAAGCUUAUCCACACUGGGAAAGACAGAAGAAAGCGUACAGAGAAACAAAUAACCAAGAGAAAAAAGUUGGAUCUUCAACCAGUGGGCAAGAGAAUUCCAGGAAGAGACAUCAUAUUGUGCAAAGGCCUAUGGAGAAGCACAGAAGACAUCCUGACCUCCAUUACACACUUUCUAUGAGAAGUGAACUGACUUUCUCAGUCCCUUUGGGAGAAUCUUCUUCAGUCCUGCCCACUCUGGUCUCCUGAAACCCACACAUCUUGGCUUUUUUCUAUGCCAUGAGAACUAGGGGAUUCCCUUAGGCAGCUGUGGGCUGGUAAAUGUUGAGCAGCAGAUGCUCUGAGCAGUGUUUGCUGAUUGUCGUGGUGUGAAUAAUCCCACCAUGGCAAUUUAGUGUGACAUCACUGAACAUAGAAUUGGAAAGAGUUGUGCACGAUGAGUUCUCUUGAAUCUGAAGUUUCAGUGGUCUCAACAGCCAAUCCAAACUGGACCCUGGAGGGCAGAGUGGAAAGCGAUCCUCUUGGAGUUUGGUCUAUGUGAUCUGUUAUGGGUUGAAUUGUGUCCCCCACAAAAAUAUAUGGAAAUCCUAAUCACCAAGUCAUCAGAAUGUUACCUUAUUUGGAAAAAGGGUCAUCGUAGAUGUAGUUAGUUAAGAUGAGGUCAUACUGGAGUAGGGUGGGCCUCUAAUCCAGUAUGACUGGUGUCCUUGAAAGAAGACAACCAUGUGAAGAUACUGAGACACAGAGAGAAGGUUAUGUGAAGAUGGAAGCAGAGGGUGGAGUGAUGCAUUUACAGGCUGAGGAACUCCUGAGGCUGCUGGAAGCUGGAAGAAAUAAGGAUGGAUUAUCCCCUAGGGGUUUCAGGGGGAGUAAGGCUCUACUAAUACCUUGAGUUUAGAUUCUAGCCUCCAGAUCUGUGAGACAACACGUUUCUGUUGUUUUAACUCACCCACUUUGUGGCACUAAUAGUCCCUGUCUUUUCUCCUACCCUGCACCAUCUGGUUUGAAAUACUGCUGCCUUGGGCAAAAUCCCACUGUGUUUGUGUUUUAUGGUUCCAGUGUUCUUUCAUUCCAGUCCUUCUCCAUCUGGAUCAUAUUACAGGAAUCUAGUGAAAUGAGCUAAAAUAUGGGAGAGUCCAUUGCCUUAAAGAGAUAAGAAAGUCAUCUUAUCAGCUAUAAUUAGUUGAAUACAUACUAGGUCUCAGAUGCUAUACUAGGUGUUUGUCAUGUGUUGCC
rnacentral:lncRNA from 1 species